rnacentral:misc_RNA from 1 species
GAUGAAGAACUUAUCGAAAUGCGAUAAGUAAUGUGAAUUGCAGAAUUCAGUGAAUCAUCGAAUCUUUGAACGCACCUUGCGCUCCUUGGUAUUCCGAGGAGCAUGCCUGUUUGAGUGUCAUUAAUAUAUCAACCUUCUCUUUUUUGAGUUGUUUGGAUGUGGGGGUUUGCUGGCCUCUUAAAUGAUUCAGCUCCCCUGAAAUGCAUUAGCAGAACAACCUGUUCAUUAGCGUGAUAAUUAUCUAUGCUAUUGAAUGUGAGGGCAGUUCAGCUUUCUAACCGUCCUUGGACAAUUCAUCAUUAAUGUGACCUCAAAUCAGGUAGGACUACCCGCUGAACUUAAGCAUAUCAAUAAGCGGAGGA